rnacentral:tRNA from 1 species
GGGGAUGUAGCUCAGUGGUAGAGCGCACGCUUUGCAUGUGUGAGGCCCCGGGUUCAAUCCUCCGGCAUCUCCA